GAUGAACGCUGGCGGCGUGCCUAAUACAUGCAAGUCGAGCGAACAGACGAGGAGCUUGCUCCUCUGACGUUAGCGGCGGACGGGUGAGUAACACGUGGAUAACCUACCUAAAAGACUGGGAUAACUUCGGGAAACCGGAGCUAAUACCGGAUAAUAUAUUGAACCGCAUGGUUCAAUAGUGAAAGACGGUUUUGCUGUCACUUAUAGAUGGAUCCGCGCCGCAUUAGCUAGUUGGUAAGGUAACAGCUUACCAAGGCAACGAUGCGUAGCCGACCUGAGAGGGUGAUCGGCCACACUGGAACUGAGACACGGUCCAGACUCCUACGGGAGGCAGCAGUAGGGAAUCUUCCGCAAUGGGCGAAAGCCUGACGGAGCAACGCCGCGUGAGUGAUGAAGGUCUUCGGAUCGUAAAACUCUGUUAUUAGGGAAGAACAAAUGUGUAAGUAACUAUGCACGUCUUGACGGUACCUAAUCAGAAAGCCACGGCUAACUACGUG
rnacentral:rRNA from 1 species